ACUUCGGAAAGGAGGUGGUUCGGCAGAUGUAUGACAACCGGACGGAAGAGGUGGCUGCGGGCUAGUGGCCCGCCGCCGUACUCGGUUCGGCGCCGGACCGGCGUGCGAGUGAUGCACGCAACCGGCCCAAUCCAACGCAGUCACCCGACCCGCGAGUCGCCGGUAUCGUCCGGCCGGCUCCCCCGAGGGGGAACCAGACUCGCGGGUCGUCUGCG
rfam:Streptomyces sp. 4F, complete genome.